UACGUAGGGGGCAAGCGUUAUCCGGAUUUACUAGGCGUAAAGGGCAGGCAGGCGGAUCCAUAAGUUUAUCGUUUAAGGCGUCGGCUUAACCGGCGUAGGGCGGUAGAUACUGUGGAUCUGGAAUGCGGUUGGGGAAGACAGAAUUCCUGGUGUAGCGGUGGAAUGCGCAGAGAUCAGGAGGAAUACCGAAGGCGAAGGCAGUCUUCCAAGCCGUUAUUGACGCUCAACUGCGAAGGUGUGGGUAUCAAACAGGAUUAGAUACCCGGGUAGUCCCUGAGCGGG
rnacentral:rRNA from 1 species